rnacentral:lncRNA from 14 species
GGAAGUUACUGUCUUAUUAUUCAUAACGCGAUGUAAGUGUCUAAAACAGAAAUACAACCUGAAUUGUUUCGACUAUGCAUUUUGUGUCCAAAAAUUUAGACUUGGUGGCCACAGCGGUGGGUGCCCACUGUCCAAGGUUGAAAAGCUUGCCACUGGCAAACCAUCUUUUACAGUCUCCAGAGAUGAACAGCGGUUGCUUAUUCCUGCUCUCAGUGCAGUUCCCUCAAAGGAUGCACUUACAAGAUCAGCUUCUGAGCCUCCCAGAGCCAUCAGGUUUCAUGUGGAAGGGAUUUUUUCUUAUUUUGUUCUGAGAGGGGGGCUGAGGAGGAGCUUCCUGAUCUGGACUAAUGGAAACCUUUGAGCGUUCCUUCAUACCGCAUCAUGUCAAUGCCAUGUAUUUACUCUUUGAGUAACUCUGGUCACUGCAACAUUAUUCUCAGCCUAAC